rnacentral:rRNA from 1 species
UACGAAGGGAGCUAGCGUUGUUCGGAAUCACUGGGCGUAAAGCGCACGUAGGCGGAUUUGUAAGUCAGGGGUGAAAUCCCGGGGCUCAACCUCGGAACUGCCUUUGAUACUGCAAAUCUCGAGUCCGAUAGAGGUGGGUGGAAUUCCUAGUGUAGAGGUGAAAUUCGUAGAUAUUCGCAAGAACACCAGUGGCGAAGGCGGCUCACUGGCCCGGUACUGACGCUGAGGUGCGAAAGCGUGGGGAGCAAACAGG